UGGGGAAUAUUGGACAAUGGGCGCAAGCCUGAUCCAGCAAUACCACGUGAGUGAUGAAGGCCUUCGGGUUGUAAAACUCUUUUAGUAGGGAAGAUAAUGACGGUACCUACAGAAAAAGCACCGGCUAACUUCGUGCCAGCAGCCGCGGUAAUACGAAGGGUGCUAGCGUUGUUCGGAAUCAUUGGGCGUAAAGCGUACGUAGGCGGCUUGGUAAGUCGGCUGUGAAAGCCCAGGGCUUAACCUUGGAAUUGCAGUCGAAACUGUCAAGCUAGAGUGUGGUCGGGGAUAGUGGAAUUCCUAGUGUAGGGGUGAAAUCCGUAGAUAUUAGGAGGAACACCAGUGGCGAAAGCGACUAUCUAGGCCAUUACUGACGCUAAGGUACGAAAGCGUGGGGAGCAAA
rnacentral:rRNA from 1 species